UACGAGGGGGGCGAGCGUUGUUCGGAAUUAUUGGGCGUAAAGGGUGCGUAGGCGGUUCCGCAAGUCCUGUGUGAAAUCUUCGGGCUCAACUCGAAGUCUGCACGGGAAACUGUGGUGCUGGAGUGUGGGAGAGGUGCGUGGAAUUCCCGGUGUAGCGGUGAAAUGCGUAGAUAUCGGAAGGAACACCAGUGGCGAAAGCGGCCUCCUGGUCCAGCACCGACGUUCAGGCACGAAAGCGUGGGGAGCAAACAGG
rnacentral:rRNA from 1 species